rnacentral:lncRNA from 1 species
CUGUUCUAGCUCUAGCGUUGAUGCCCCUUUUAACGUUGCUUUGUUUUUUUUUGUCUUUGCUGUUUUGCGUACACUUUUAUAUAUGUUUGCACUUUCGUUCAUCGGACGGAAGUGUUGAAACUAGAACAUACAUAAAUUAUGUUAGUUUAUGAGGAUUUUAUACCUCCCAGAAUAUAAAGUUGAUAUGAUAUUCCAGUGUCUGCGUUAACUUGACGAUCAGAUCACCACA